GAUGAACGCUGGCGGCGUGCCUAAUACAUGCAAGUCGAGCGAACAGACGAGGAGCUUGCUCCUCUGACGUUAGCGGCGGACGGGUGAGUAACACGUGGAUAACCUACCUAUAAGACUGGGAUAACUUCGGGAAACCGGAGCUAAUACCGGAUAAUAUAUUGAACCGCAUGGUUCAAUAGUGAAAGACGGUUUUGCUUUCACUUAUAGAUGGAUCCGCGCCGCAUUAGCUAUUUGGUAAGGUAACGGCUUACCAAGGCAACGAUGCGUAGCCGACCUGAGAGGGUGAUCGGCCACACUGGAACUGAGACACGGUCCAGACUCCUACGGGAGGCAGCAGUAGGGAAUCUUACGCAAUGGGCGAAAGCCUGACGGAGCAACGCCGCGUGAGUGAUGAAGGUCUUCGGAUCGUAAAACUCUGUUAUUAGGGAAGAACAAAUGUGUAAGUAACUAUGCACGUCUUGACGGUACCUAAUCAGAAAGCCACGGCUAACUACGUG
rnacentral:rRNA from 1 species